rnacentral:lncRNA from 1 species
ACAGCUUCCAGCAUGUGUUGUGAAACAUUUCUUCUGAUGUCUAAAAUUGAAACAAUUACUAUGAUCUACAAAAUUUGAAGAACAACUAUGAAUCAAUAAUUUACUGCUAUAAUCAACAAAGGAUAAACUAACUUCAUCUGACACAUGCUGAAUAAUCUACAUAAAUAUGAUUGCAAGUCAUGGCAAGUAUUCGUAAGUGAUUUGAGAAAGUCCAUGCAUGGGAGCAGGACAAAGAGAAAUAAUCUGAUCAUCCCUAAGAGGUUUCAAGGUUUUGGUAUCGGGAUGAUGCUGGCCUCAUGGAGUAAGUUAAGAAGGAGUCUCUCCUUUUCAAUCUUUUGAAAUAGUUUCAGUAAGAAUGGUAACCUCUCUUCUUUAUAUUUCUGGUAGAAUUGACUGUGAAUGUAUAUUUGGCUGGUCCUAAGCUUUUUCUGGUUGGUAGGCUUUUUAUUACUGAUUUGAUUUCAGAACUCAUUAUUUGUUAGUUCAGGGAUUCAAUUUCUCCCUUGUUCAGCCUUGGGAAAUUGUUUGUUUCUAGGAAUUUAUUAAUUUCUUCUAGAUUUUGUCCUUUGUGUGCAUAGAGGUGUUCAUAGUAGACUCUGAGAGGUGUAUAUAUAUAUAUA